GAACCUUUUAAAAAUGUCCAGAGAGGCAUUUAAGGGUGUGGGACAAUCUUCUGCAUGGCAUUUCCGUCAAAACAUUGUCUAAUGGCUAAACACCCUUGAAAAUGGGUGUUUUUUUUAU
rfam:Bacillus sp. FJAT-27231 Scaffold1, whole genome shotgun sequence.